rnacentral:rRNA from 1 species
GGUUGCGAUCAUACCAGCACUAAUGCAUCGGAUCCCAUCAGAACUCCGCAGUUAAGCGGGCUUGGGGGAGAGUAGUACUAGGAUGGGUGACCCCCUGGGAAGUCCUCGUGUUGCAACCCC